GAUUCCAUCGUUCAGCGGCCAGGACGCCCCGUUGUCUGCGGGAAUACGCCGGUUCGAGUCCGGCUGGAAUCGCCA
rnacentral:tRNA from 1 species